GUGAGUUCGGAGCCGGAGCGCCCCGGGCACUUGUCUUCUCAGUGGAUGCUUCUUGAGCGCUGUCGCGCCGCGCCGCGGGACUGGGAUACCGGGUUGAUUCCCAGCUGCUCAGCUGCUUCCCUUAUGCACACAGACAUCUGGCUUCGGAAGGAGGCAGUGGGUGUGAAAGAUUUAGAUCCAAAUGGGAAUGACUUGUUUUAG
rnacentral:lncRNA from 1 species